GACGAACGCUGGCGGCGUGCUUAACACAUGCAAGUCGAACGGAAAGGCCCUGCUUUUGUGGGGUGCUCGAGUGGCGAACGGGUGGGUAACACGUGAGUAACCUGCCCUUGACUUUGGGAUAACUUCAGGAAACUGGGGCUAAUACCGGAUAGGAGCUCCUGCUGCAUGGUGGGGGUUGGAAAGUUUCGGCGGUUGGGGAUGGACUCGCGGCUUAUCAGCUUGUUGGUGGGGUAGUGGCUUACCAAGGCUUGGACGGGUAGCCGGCCUGAGAGGGGGACCGGCCACAUUGGGACUGAGAUACGGCCCAGACUCCUACGGGAGGCAGCAGGGGGGAAUAUUGCACAAUGGGCGGAAGCCUGAUGCAGCAACGCCGCGUGCGGGAUGACGUCCUUCGGGUUGUAAACCGCUUUCGCCUGUGACGAAGCGUGAGUGACGGUAAUGGGUAAAGAAGCACCGGCUAACUACGUG
rnacentral:rRNA from 1 species